GAUGAACGCUGGCGGCGUGCCUAACACAUGCAAGUCGAGCGAGAAUUGAUGGAAUGAACCUUCGGGGGAGUGAAGUCAAUGAAAGCGGCGGACGGGUGAGUAACGCGUGGGUAACCUGCCCCAGUACAAAGGGAUAGCCACUGGAAACGGUGAUUAAUACCCUAUAAGACUACGAGGUCGCAUGAUUUUGUAGCCAAAGAUUUAUCGGUAUGGGAUGGACCCGCGUCUGAUUAGCUAGUUGGUGAGGUAAUGGCUCACCAAGGCGACGAUCAGUAGCCGACCUGAGAGGGUGAUCGGCCACACUGGAACUGAGACACGGUCCAGACUCCUACGGGAGGCAGCAGUGGGGAAUAUUGCACAAUGGGCGCAAGCCUGAUGCAGCAACGCCGUGUGAGUGAAGAAGGCCU
rnacentral:rRNA from 1 species